rnacentral:rRNA from 1 species
UACAGAGGGUGCGAGCGUUGUCCGGAAUCACUGGGCGUAAAGGGCGCGUAGGCGGCUUGGUAAGCGUGCGGUGAAAGCCCGGGGCUCAACCCCCGGGUCGGCCGUGCGAACUGCUGGGCUGGAGCACUGUAGAGGCAGGUGGAAUUCCGGGUGUAGCGGUGGAAUGCGUAGAGAUCCGGAAGAACACCGGUGGCGAAGGCGGCCUGCUGGGCAGUAGCUGACGCUGAGGCGCGACAGCGUGGGGGAGCAAACAGG